CCUCAGUAUGAAGGAUACAGAAGGAAACUUCUAGAGAGAAACAGAAUAUCUUCAUGAACUUGGGGCCUGUUAGGGGAGCGCGCUGAGCGUCUGCGCCCCACGCCCCUCCUGGUCCAGACCCCACAGACGGGAGCGCGCUGGCUCAGCGAAAGCCGCCAAGAGGAUGUCCCUGCCAGCUGGAUGAGUGUCCCGGGGCCGCGGUCCCAAGUGACCGCGAAGGCAGCGGCGGGAGAUCCCGCGCGACUCUGCUGGAGCGCUGGCGGGCGGAGUCGGCGCCUGGUCCUGGGCCGCAGCGCAGGGGCUCCUCCUGGAGGCGCUCUGGGAGAGCGCGCCUCGCCCUUCCAGCCUCUGGAGGCGCCUGUGUCUCCCGGCCGGUGGUCGUCCCUUGGCGGUGCAGCACUGGAUCCCCGUCGCGUUGUCACGUCUCCUAGAGGCAGACGAGAGAAGACUGGCCCAUUUUCACUACUGCCUGAGGUAAUUGGUUCCUGGUGCUGCAGUUACAUACUUCCAGUCACUGCCCAAGGCCUCUCCCAAUUUGUGACAUAUGUUGCAGUGUCUCCUGGAGUACAAACUGAAGGAAGUAGUAAGGACUCCUCUGACUAUUUUAAAUAAUUGAGCAGAGGCAGUAACCAGCUUCCUCUAAGGUGUUAAAGAAGGUGCAAGACAAUGUGAGGACAGUGAGUCCUUGGGAGAGGACAGAGAAGAAAGCCCCAGACCAGAGUAACAGAGGACAUGUGCCACCAUUCACCUGCUCCCGAGCUGGUCCCCAUACUCUGUGGUCCUGAGCAUCCCCUGCAUCCCAGCCCCUCCAGUCUCCCUGCAGGGAUGCUUGGGUCUAGGCUCACACUGACUUGCCCUCUCUGUGUGUUUCUGUGAGUCUCGCACAGUAAUACAAGGCUGUGUCCUCAGUGGACACAGAGCUCAGCUGCAGGUUCACAAAUGUGUCUUUGAAGAUGGAGAGUCGGCUCUGAAAGGAUGGGCUGAGGCGAGGCGUGAGCCACCACUGGAGCCGAGGCAGCCCAUCCACUCCAGCCCCUUCCUGGAGGCUGCCGGAUUCAGGCCCGAAAGUAACUGCUGAUGAAGGAGAUUCCAGAGACAGAGCAGGAGAGGGAGAGGGUCUGCAAAGUCUUCUCCAGUCCUGGCCUUGACUCUGGCAGCGGCCCUGGGACAGGACCCUGGGGGACAAGGAGGAAAAUGGUGAGUCACAGGCAGACAGCACAGCCCACGGCCCCAUUUCUGAAAUCUCUGUGAGACUCCCAUGGAUGUGCAGCCACCAGGUGGGGACAAAACACAGAGAUCUGAGGUUUUUCCCAAAGAUGGGUGUGACUUUCCCAGAGGUCUUGCCAGGCCAGAGCGAGAAGCAUCACAGGCUCUCUGCAGCCUGGCGUUGUGCCGUGCUGAGUCCCUGGAGGGACAUUUGCAAGUGCUCUACCUGUGGCUUCAAGAGUC
rnacentral:lncRNA from 1 species